UCUCCUACAAACCCUGCUUAUAAGAGCAUGGCAAGGAACUAGAGAGGAGGGAGAGCCCUCUGGUAUACCCAGGCUGUCAGAUGAUGCUCGCACAAGACUCACGUUUACCUGAAGCCUUCUCAGCCACCUCUUACACUGAUGCUGGUAUGAGGAAGAGAGCGGCAGGAAUCGGCAGAAAUGCUGUGAAAUCCCGGACUCGGGAGCUGAGAAACACCCCAAGCAGCGCAGAGACCCCCUCCUCUUGAAGGCACAUCCUGGGGGCUUGGCUCCAGAGAAAAAAAUUGUUCAAAAUAAACAGCGAUUCUUCAACUCGAGAAGCUCUGUUAAGGACACAAAAUGCUCCAAGAGGUGGUUGCGUGUUUUGGGAGAGGAGCAAGCCCAGCCUUGCAGGACAUGCAGAGACAUUAAACCUGCGUGCUUCUCCCAUGGGAGACGGGAACUGAGCAGGUACCCAUGGGACAAAUCCCGGGAGGCAUCCGACCGCCUGGAAGGGGAGCUGCUUUGGUGACCCCCACAGCACCGAAAUCGGGACGGAGCUGACCUGGAGGAGUUAGAGGGGACGCAGGACACAAGGACUGGGUGCUGCGAUAGCCGCCAAAAGGGGUUUGCAAGUAACAGGGGGACGGGGAAGGAGGGACUGGGGAGGACAGAGAUCUGCCAGGGCCACCUGAGUCACUCGGGGCUGGGUUAGCAAGAUGCCCUGGGGACACUCACCCCAAACCUAUUCAAGCCCAGAAUGUCCUGCCGACAUCUCCG